CCAGUCCAUUCUGAAGGAGAUCAGUGCUGGGUGUUCUUUGGAAGGAAUGAUGCUAAAGCUGAAGCUCCAGUACUUUGGCCACCUCAUGCGAAGAGUUGACUCAUUGGAAAAGACUCUGAUGCUGGGAGGGAUUGGGGGCAGGAGGAGAAGGGGACGACAGAGGAUGAGAUGGCUGGAUGGCAUCACCAACUCGAUGGACAUGAGUUUGAGUGAACUCUGGGUGUUGAUGAUGGACAGGGAGGCCUGGCGUGUUGCGAUUCAUGGGGUUGCAAGGAGUCGGACAUGACUGAGCGACUGAACUGAAUUGAACUGAAACAAAGCACUGGCAAAUAGAGAGGGAAAAGAUAGAAGUCGUGACAGAAUUCUUCUUCUUGGGUUCUAAAAUCACUGCGGACAGUGACUGCAGCAAUGAAAUAUGAAGACAUUUGCUUCUUGGCAGGAAAGCUAUGAGAAACCUAGACAGUGUGUUGAAAAGCAGAGACAUUGCUGACAAAGGCUCAUAUAGUCAAGGCCAUGGUCUUCCCAGUGGUCACAUACAGUUGUGAGAGCUGGACGAUAAAGAAGGUGGAGCACCAAAGAAUUGAUGCCUUCGAACUGUGAUGCUGGAGAAGACUCCUGAGAGUCCCUUGGAUCGCAAGGCAAUCAAACCAGUCAAUCUUAAGGGAAAUCAACCCUGAAUACUGGUUGGAAGGACUGAUGCUGAAGCUGAAACUCCAGUAUUCUGCUCAUCUCAUGCGAAUAGCUGACUCAUUGGAAAAGUCACUGAUGCUGGGAAAGAUUGAUGGCAGAAGAAGAGGCGUCAGAGGAUGAGUUAGCUGGAUGGCAUCACCAGUGCAACAGACAUGAACUUAGGCAAACUUUGGGAAAUGGUGAGGGACAGAGAGGCCUGCAUGCUUCAGUCCAUAGGGUCGCAAAGAGUUGGGACACGACUAGGUGACUGAACAACAACAGCAAACAAAGCACUAAUAGUUCGAGACGAGGCAAUGAAGAAAGGAAGACGACCUCGACGGAGACAGGUUACCUUUAUUCAGGUGGAUUCUUUACCACUGUGCCACCUGGGAAGCUAUGCAUUAGUCACAGCUAAUAUUGAGUUCCAACCCUGGGAUUUCUUUGGAAGGAAUGAUGCUAAAGCUGAAACUCCAGUACUUUGGCCACCUCAUGUGAAAAGUUG
ensembl:lncRNA